GAUGAACGCUAGCGACAGGCUUAACACAUGCAAGUCGAGGGGCAGCAUAGAAGUAGCAAUACUUUGGUGGCGACCGGCGCACGGGUGAGUAACGCGUGUGCAACCUACCUAUCAGAGGGGAAUAACCCGGCGAAAGUCGGACUAAUACCGCAUAAAACAAGGGCACCGCAUGGUGAUAUUUGUUAAAGAAAUUCGCUGAUAGAUGGGCAUGCGUUCCAUUAGGUAGUUGGUGAGGUAACGGCUCACCAAGCCGACGAUGGAUAGGGGAACUGAGAGGUUGGUCCCCCACACUGGUACUGAGACACGGACCAGACUCCUACGGGAGGCAGCAGUGAGGAAUAUUGGUCAAUGGGCGGGAGCCUGAACCAGCCAAGUCGCGUGAAGGAAGAAGGAUCUAUGGUUCGUAAACUUCUUUUGCAGGGGAAUAAAGUGCAGGACGUGUCCUGUUUUGUAUGUACCCUGAGAAUAAGGAUCGGCUAACUCCGUGCCAGCAGCCGCAGUAAGAC
rnacentral:rRNA from 1 species